rnacentral:rRNA from 1 species
UACGGAGGAUGCAAGCGUUAUCCGGAAUUACUGGGCGUAAAGAGCGCGCAGGCGGUCGUUCAAGUCGCGUGUGAAAGCCCCCGGCUCAACUGGGGAGGGUCACGCGAUACUGAUCGACUCGAAGGCAGGAGAGGGUAGUGGAAUUCCCGGUGUAGUGGUGAAAUGCGUAGAUAUCGGGAGGAACACCGGUGGCGAAGGCGGCCCCCUGGUUGGAUACUGACGCUGAGACGCGAAAGCGUGGGGAGCAAACAGG